UUCCCCUAGUAACUGCGAGUGAAGCGGGAAAAGCUCAAAUUUAAAAUCUGGUGGUCUUUGGCCAUCCGAGUUGUAAUUUAGAGAAGCGUCUUCCGCGCUGGACCGUGCACAAGUCUCCUGGAAUGGAGCGUCGUAGAGGGUGAGAAUCCCGUCUUUGGCACGGACGCACCAGGGCUUCUGUGAUGCGCUCUCGAAGAGUCGAGUUGUUUGGGAAUGCAGCUCAAAAUGGGUGGUGAACUCCAUCUAAAGCUAAAUAUUGGCGAGAGACCGAUAGCGAACAAGUACCGUGAGGGAAAGAUGAAAAGCACUUUGGAAAGAGAGUGAAACAGUACGUGAAAUUGUUGAAAGGGAAACGCUUGAAGUCAGUCGCGUCGCCCGAGACUCAGCCUUGCCUUGGCUUGGUGUACUUCUCGGCCGACGGGUCAGCAUCAAUUUUGCCCCUUGGAUAAUGGCGAGGGAAAUGUGGCACCUUCACGGGUGUGUUAUAGUCUCUCGUCGCAUGCAAGGGUCGGGAUUGAGGAACUCAGCACGCGCCUUUCGGCGUCGGGGUUCGCCCACGAUACGUGCUUAGGAUGUUGGCGUAAUGGCUUUAAACGACCCGUCUUGAAACACGGACCAAGGAGUCUAACAUGCCCGCGAGUGUUCGGGUGGAAAACCCGUGCGCGCAAUGAAAGUGAAAGUUGGGACCUCUGUCGUGGAGGGCACCAACGCCCGGACCAGACCUUCUGUGACGGAUCUGCGGUAGAGCGUGUAUGUUAGGACCCGAAAGAUGGUGAACUAUGCCUGAAUAGGGUGAAGCCAGAGGAAACUCUGGUGGAGGCUCGUAGCGAUUCUGACGUGCAAAUCGAUCGUCAAAYUUGGGUAUAGGGGCGAAAGACU
rnacentral:rRNA from 1 species